GGACUACCAGGGUAUCUAAUCCCGUUUGCUCCCCUAGCUUUCGUGCCUCAGUGUCAGGAAUUGUCCAGGGACUCGCCCUCGCCACUGGUGUUCCACUUGAUAUCUACGCAUUUCACUGCUACACCAAGUAUUCCAGUCCCCCCUCCAAUCCUCGAGCAAGGUAGUUUCCAAUGCCAUUUCGGAGUUAAGCUCCGAGCUUUCACAUCAGUCUUUCCUCACCACCUACGCACCCUUUACGCCCAGUGAAUCCGAACAACGCUUGGGACCUCUGUAUUACCGCGGCGGCUGGCAC
rnacentral:rRNA from 1 species